rnacentral:tRNA from 1 species
GGGGCUGUGGCUUAGUGGUAGAGCACUUGCCUAGCAGGUGUGAGGCACUGGGUUCGAUCCUCAGCACCA